rnacentral:rRNA from 1 species
AAGACCUUGUACUUUUGGAGCGGCCGAUGUCUGAUUAGCUAGUUGGUGGGGUAAAGGCCUACCAAGGCGUCGAUCAGUAGCUGGUCUGAGAGGACGGCCAGCCACACUGGGACUGAGACACGGCCCAGACUCCUACGGGAGGCAGCAGUGGGGAAUUUUGGACAAUGGGCGCAAGCCUGAUCCAGCCAUGCCGCGUGAGUGAAGAAGGCCUUCGGGUUGUAAAGCUCUUUCAGCCGGGAAGAAAAGGUUGCGAUUAAUAAUCGCAAUAUAUGACGGUACCGGAAGAAGAAGCACCGGCUAACUACGUGCCAGCAGCCGCGGUAAUACGUAGGGUGCGAGCGUUAAUCGGAAUUACUGGGCGUAAAGGGUGCGCAGGCGGUUUUGUAAGUCAGAUGUGAAAUCCCCGGGCUUAACCUGGGAACU